CCUACGGGAGGCAGCAGUAGGGAAUCUUCCACAAUGGACGAAAGUCUGAUGGAGCAACGCCGCGUGAGUGAAGAAGGGUUUCGGCUCGUAAAGCUCUGUUGGUAGUGAAGAAAGAUAGAGGUAGUAACUGGCCUUUAUUUGACGGUAAUUACUUAGAAAGUCACGGCUAACUACGUGCCAGCAGCCGCGGUAAUACGUAGGUGGCAAGCGUUGUCCGGAUUUAUUGGGCGUAAAGCGAGUGCAGGCGGGUCCAUUAAUCUGGUGUUGAAAGCCUCGGCCCCAACCGAGGAUUG
rnacentral:rRNA from 1 species